CGCAACCCUUAUCCUUUGUUGCCAGCGGUUCGGCCGGGAACUCAAAGGAGACUGCCAGUGAUAAACUGGAGGAAGGUGGGGAUGACGUCAAGUCAUCAUGGCCCUUACGAGUAGGGCUACACACGUGCUACAAUGGCGCAUACAAAGAGAAGCGACCUCGCGAGAGCAAGCGGACCUCAUAAAGUGCGUCGUAGUCCGGAUUGGAGUCUGCAACUCGACUCCAUGAAGUCGGAAUCGCUAGUAAUCGUAGAUCAGAAUGCUACGGUGAAUACGUUCCCGGGCCUUGUACACACCGCCCGUCACACCAUGGGAGUGGGUUGUACCAGAAGUAG
rnacentral:rRNA from 1 species